AUUGAACGCUGGCGGCAGGCCUAACACAUGCAAGUCGAGCGGAGAGGCGGACGGGUGAGUAAUGCCUAGGAAUCUGCCCGGUAGUGGGGGAUAAAGUCCGGAACCGGGCGCUAAUACCACAUACUAUCAGAUGAGUCUAGGUCGGAUUAGCUGGUUGGUGGGGUAAAGGCUUACCAAGGCGACGAUCCGUAACUGGUCUGAGAGGAUGAUCAGUCACACGGGAACUGAGACACGGCCCAGACUCCUACGGGAGGCAGCAGUGGGGAAUAUUGGACAAUGGGCGAAAGCCUGAGCCAGCCAUGCCGCGUGUGUGAAGAAGGUCUUCGGAUUGUAAAGCACUUUUAGUUGGGAGGCGUUACCAACAGAAUAAGCACCGGCUAACUACGUGCCAGCAGCCGCGGUAAUAC
rnacentral:rRNA from 1 species